UACAGAGGUCUCAAGCGUUGUCCGGAAUUAUUGGGCGUAAAGCGCGCGCAGGCGGUCCUUUAAGUCUGAUGUGAAAGCCCUCGGCUCAACCGAGGAGGGUCAUUGGAAACUGGAGGACUUGAGUGCAGAAGAGGAAAGUGGAAUUCCAAGUGUAGCGGUGAAAUGCGUAGAGAUUUGGAGGAACACCAGUGGCGAAGGCGACUUUCUGGUCUGUAACUGACGCUGAGGCGCGAAGGUCAGGGGAGCAAACGGG
rnacentral:rRNA from 1 species